AAAUUGAAGAGUUUGAUCAUGGCUCAGAUUGAACGCUGGCGGCAGGCCUAACACAUGCAAGUCGAGCGGUAACACAGAGAGCUUGCUCUCGGGUGACGAGCGGCGGACGGGUGAGUAAUGUCUGGGAAACUGCCUGAUGGAGGGGGAUAACUACUGGAAACGGUAGCUAAUACCGCAUAACGUCGCAAGACCAAAGAGGGGGACCUUCGGGCCUCUUGCCAUCAGAUGUGCCCAGAUGGGAUUAGCUAGUAGGUGGGGUAACGGCUCACCUAGGCGACGAUCCCUAGCUGGUCUGAGAGGAUGACCAGCCACACUGGAACUGAGACACGGUCCAGACUCCUACGGGAGGCAGCAGUGGGGAAUAUUGCACAAUGGGCGCAAGCCUGAUGCAGCCAUGCCGCGUGUAUGAAGAAGGCCUUCGGGUUGUAAAGUACUUUCAGCGGGGAGGAAGGCGAUAAGGUUAAUAACCUUGUCGAUUGACGUUACCCGCAGAAGAAGCACCGGCUAACUCCGUGCCAGCAGCCGCGGUAAUACGGAGGGUGCAAGCGUUAAUCGGAAUUACUGGGCGUAAAGCGCACGCAGGCGGUCUGUCAAGUCGGAUGUGAAAUCCCCGGGCUCAACCUGGGAACUGCAUUCGAAACUGGCAGGCUAGAGUCUUGUAGAGGGGGGUAGAAUUCCAGGUGUAGCGGUGAAAUGCGUAGAGAUCUGGAGGAAUACCGGUGGCGAAGGCGGCCCCCUGGACAAAGACUGACGCUCAGGUGCGAAAGCGUGGGGAGCAAACAGGAUUAGAUACCCUGGUAGUCCACGCCGUAAACGAUGUCGACUUGGAGGUUGUGCCCUUGAGGCGUGGCUUCCGGAGCUAACGCGUUAAGUCGACCGCCUGGGGAGUACGGCCGCAAGGUUAAAACUCAAAUGAAUUGACGGGGGCCCGCACAAGCGGUGGAGCAUGUGGUUUAAUUCGAUGCAACGCGAAGAACCUUACCUACUCUUGACAUCCAGAGAACUUAGCAGAGAUGCUUUGGUGCCUUCGGGAACUCUGAGACAGGUGCUGCAUGGCUGUCGUCAGCUCGUGUUGUGAAAUGUUGGGUUAAGUCCCGCAACGAGCGCAACCCUUAUCCUUUGUUGCCAGCGGUCCGGCCGGGAACUCAAAGGAGACUGCCAGUGAUAAACUGGAGGAAGGUGGGGAUGACGUCAAGUCAUCAUGGCCCUUACGAGUAGGGCUACACACGUGCUACAAUGGCAUAUACAAAGAGAAGCGACCUCGCGAGAGCAAGCGGACCUCAUAAAGUAUGUCGUAGUCCGGAUUGGAGUCUGCAACUCGACUCCAUGAAGUCGGAAUCGCUAGUAAUCGUAGAUCAGAAUGCUACGGUGAAUACGUUCCCGGGCCUUGUACACACCGCCCGUCACACCAUGGGAGUGGGUUGCAAAAGAAGUAGGUAGCUUAACCUUCGGGAGGGCGCUUACCACUUUGUGAUUCAUGACUGGGGUGAAGUCGUAACAAGGUAACCGUAGGGGAACCUGCGGUUGGAUCACCUCCUUA
rnacentral:rRNA from 1 species